rnacentral:rRNA from 1 species
UACAGAGGUCGCAAGCGGUACUGAGAUUCAAUGGGAUUAAAGGGUGCGUAGGUGGCGUGUUAAGUCAGUUGUGAAAUCCCCGGGCUCAACACGGGAAAUGCUUCUGAUACUGGCGUGCUUGAGGCCGGUAUAGGUUACUGGAACGGACGGUGGAGCGGUGAAAUGCGUAGAUAUCGUCUGGAACGCCAGUGGUGAAGACGGGUAACUGGGCCGGUUCUGACACUUAGGCACGAAAGCGUGGGUAGCGAACGGG